AGUCUGCUGUGAUGAUUUGCAUGUGAAGUCCGUGUUUCACCUGAUGAACCAUGAUUAUGCACAUGCUCUGAGCAGAUU